CCUAUGAAAUAUUUUCUAUUAAAAAAUAAUGUAGAAUCUGCCACCAGUUGACAUAGCACAAAUAAUAAAAUUAGCAAGCUGGAAUUUUAAGGGGGGUUUAUUCUUUAUAUUGAUAUUUAUUAUUACAAUAUCCAGUAAACAGGGAAGUUCCAACAACACUUACUGAGCUAUAAUAUCAUUCUCCAAUGCAUAUAAAUUUCAAAAAACAUAAUAUUGGAAGUUCAAUAAAUAUGGAAAAUACAUAAGGUCUCAUUGGCUUUAUAUUUUACUAAAUGGUUAUACGAAAUGACUAGAGCCAUCCCCCCCCCCUCUCUCCUUCCAAAAAAUAAAAAUAAAUAAAUAAAAAGGUAAGUUAAAUUAGAUAGUGGUAUUUCCCAAGAAAAAAUGACGACUAUACUUUUUCUUAUCAUGUUGUCAGGGUAGUCUUUUACUAUGUAUCAAAUAUGCAAGGAGAAAAAUCAAUAGGGUGUGAAUUGUGGUUGAAUGCAUAGAGAAGGAGGUGGCCAGGGACCAAGAGUGAGUUCUAUCAUCAGAAUGACUAGCUUGGUCAUCAGAGUGGAAUUGGUUAUACUGCUGCCUUUGUAAUGGUGGUAGUCGAAAAGCAAUUGGCCCAUAGAUUUGAUUACAAGUGGUGGCUGUAGUUUUUGUAUCCAAUGUAGCAUCAUAUUCAGGUGAUGGCCCCUAGACUCCUCCCACCACCAGGUACUGUGAUGCUUGUCUACUGUGAUAAUAAAUAAAAUGACCUGGUCGUCACCCAUGCAGCCUAUAUUUCUGCAAUGAAAGCACAAAGAUCUUAAUUAGAGCGUAAAUUUAUUGUAUAACACAAUUCAUUAUCUCCAAAAUAAGCGAUAUUCACUUGGCAAGAGCAACCCGUCAAGUAAAAAACUUCCAUAGCUAAUUCAAGCCAUUUUCAAUUUUAAAGAAUUUUUACAAGGAAAAUAUUUUGAUCGAACAAACCUGUAAAUGACUUUUUACUUCAAAAUUUGUUAGACCGUCAACCUUCAUCAAAUCCUUAAUUGUUUAGGUGUAGCAACUGUAUAAUAAGACGAACCAGAACAAUCAAUGCAAAAAUGAAGUCACAUGUAUCUUAGUCAAAGUUAAUUUGAUAAUAAAUUAUACUGUGUGAACCACCAAGUUUUUGAAGGGCUAGCAAGAAUUAUCUAUGUAGCAUAGAUGACCAACUCCUCCUAGGUUUUCUUUGAAAUUGUCCUUCCUUCUCAUCCUUAUUAUUUCCACCACCACCACCUAUCUCUUCCACAGAACUGAUGGCAACCAUUGGCACCGACAUUCUGAUUGGCCCUUGUGGAAUAGUUACAGUACUCCACUAGAAAAUACGUCUGGGUGCAAAUACAAUAAGUCCUCCACCAUAAUUCUUGCCGAAUAUCAUUUGCAUAAAUGCAAAAAGGGAUAUUAUAAGUUUAAAAUAAAUAUUACAAUGCCAAAAUCUAUGUUACAUUGAACGCAGAAGUUCGUGGCAAAAAAAUCAAAAGGAAAAAAUAAUUACCAGACCUUCUUUUGCACUAACAUGGAGCAGAAAUUUUUGACUUCUAGCAGCACAGCGUGCAUUGUUGGAAAAACACGAAGCACCAAAUCUAAACCUUCGUGUUAAGUAAAAAUGUACUAUCAGGGGGUAAAAAGAUCUACACCAUAGAAAAACUCUACCUAAUUUUUCUAAAACUAAAUAAUCUAAGUUUACUUUUAUUUGUCUCGUUUUCAGCAUCAAACAUUUUGUCAAAUGAGAACCAGACCUCCCCUCCUUUUCCUGUUCUACAGUUCUACACUGCAAAGAUAUCAUCAUACUCAAAAUCAGUUUUUGCUUCUUUACAUAUACAUUUGUUUAAUCUACAUUGCCAAUGAGAAAAUACCUGCAUUUUCAGGGAAUUUACACAUCUUACUAUUGAUUCAAGCUUCACAGGAUGUCUCUAUUUGGACAAGAUCUAUCCUUGAUUACUAAUGGAUCUUCCAAAGAUUUGUUAGCUUUAUUUAUAGAUUGCUUUCCAUUUGCUGGCCUCUUUGUGCAAUUCCUUGUGCCAUUAAAAACACCAUCUAAUGAUAAUAACCUUCGACUAGAAGCACAUGUAGUUAGAGAUUGUGAGGGCAUUACCAAGAAUU
rnacentral:lncRNA from 1 species